rnacentral:rRNA from 1 species
AUUGAACGCUGGCGGAAUGCUUUACACAUGCAAGUCGAACGGCAGCACGGACUUCGGUCUGGUGGCGAGUGGCGAACGGGUGAGUAACAUAUCGGAACGUAUCCAAUAAUGGGGGAUAACGAGUCGAAAGAUUCGCUAAUACCGCAUACGCCCUACGGGGGAAAGCUGGGGACCUUCGGGCCUGGCGUUAAUGGAGCGGCCGAUAUCUGAUUAGCUAGUUGGUGAGGUAAAGGCUCACCAAGGCGACGAUCAGUAGCUGGUCUGAGAGGACGACCAGCCACACUGGAACUGAGACACGGUCCAGACUCCUACGGGAGGCAGCAGUGGGGAAUGUUGGACAAUGGGCGCAAGCCUGAGCCAGCCAUUCCGCGUGAGUGAAGAAGGCCUUCGGGUUGUAAAGCUCUUUCGCAAGGGAAGAAAACUUAGCCACUAACAUUGGUUGAGGUUGAUGGUACCUUGAUAAGAAGCACCGGCUAACUACGUGCCAGCCGCCGCGGUAA